UUAUUACUCCCUUCGUCCGAAAUACUUGUCGGAUGAAUGGAUUUAUCUAGUUGUAUUUUUGUUUUAGGUGCGUCCAUUUAUAUUCAUUUCUGCGACAAGUAUUUUCGGACGGAGGGAGUACUAA
rnacentral:pre_miRNA from 1 species